UGGGGAAUAUUGCACAAUGGGCGAAAGCCUGAUGCAGCGACGCCGCGUGAGGGAUGACGGCCUUCGGGUUGUAAACCUCUUUCAGCAGGGACGAAGCGCAAGUGACGGUACCUGCAGAAGAAGCACCGGCUAACUACGUGCCAGCAGCCGCGGUAAUACGUAGGGUGCAAGCGUUGUCCGGAAUUACUGGGCGUAAAGAGUUCGUAGGCGGUUUGUCGCGUCGUUUGUGAAAACCAGCAGCUCAACUGCUGGCUUGCAGGCGAUACGGGCAGACUUGAGUACUGCAGGGGAGACUGGAAUUCCUGGUGUAGCGGUGAAAUGCGCAGAUAUCAGGAGGAACACCGGUGGCGAAGGCGGGUCUCUGGGCAGUAGCUGACGCUGGGGAACGAAAGCGUGGGUAGCGAACAGG
rnacentral:rRNA from 1 species